UACGUAGGGUGCGAGCGUUGUCCGGAAUUAUUGGGCGUAAAGGGCUCGUAGGCGGUUUGUCGCGUCUGCCGUGAAAGUCCGGGCUCAACUCCGGAUCUGCGGUGGGUACGGGCAGACUAGAGUGAUGUAGGGAGACUGGAAUUCCUGGUGUAGCGGUGAAAUGCGCAGCUAUCAGGAGGAACACCGAUGGCGAAGGCGGCUCUCUGGGACGGUACUGACGCUGAGACGCGAAAGCGUGGGAGCGAACAGG
rnacentral:rRNA from 1 species